GAGAUCUGGUGCCCUCUUCUGGCCUGCAGGGAUACAUGCAGGCUGACCUGCUUCAGGCUUCUGGGUGCCAGGCUUACCUGUGUGCACCACUGCACCUGGCUCAUUCAGAGUGUGCUUCACAGUAGUGCUCAGCCAUGUGAGCCAUGGAAGUUGCUGUGAACAACACAGCACAGUGCUGUUCACUUCUUUUUUCUGCCGAAGAGUGUGAGUUCUGGCUGUGCACUUUCUUAGCAUCACCUUGGAGUGAGUUAACACAGGUAAUACUUCACAGAAGAGUGAUAUGAACAGCCACAUAGAUACAGUGUAGGCUCAGGAAAACACGUGACAUUUUGGAAGCCUGGAAGCACUGAUUUAUGUGCAGUGUCAGUCAGAUAGGGAAAGAUCUGUUCAACCUUUACUCACUAUGAGGUUAUUAAAAAACACAACAGAUAUUUAAUAGGAAAAAUAUGUAGAACUUAUUGUUGGCCGAUGUUCUAGGUGACAGGGUGUUUAUUACCUCUAUGAAAUAAAAAAUACUAAAUUUGAA